rnacentral:rRNA from 1 species
AUUGAACGCUGGCGGCAGGCCUAACACAUGCAAGUCGAACGAGUGGCGGACGGGUGAGUAAUGUCUGGGAAACUGCCCGAUGGAGGGGGAUAACUACUGGAAACGGUAGCUAAUACCGCAUACCAUCGGAUGUGCCCAGAUGGGCUUAGCUAGUAGGUGGGGUAACGGCUCACCUAGGCGACGAGCACUAGCUGGUCUGAGAGGAUGACCAGCAACACUGGAACUGAGACACGGUCCAGCCUCAGACGGGAGGCAGCAGUGGGGAAUAUUGCACAAGGGGCACAAGCCUGAUGCAGCCAUGCCGCGUGUAUGACGAAGGCCUUCGGGUUGUAAAGUACUUUCAGCGAGGAGGCGUUUCUCGCAGAAGAAGCACCGGCUAACUCCGUGCCAGCAGCCGCGGUAAUAC